GGUUAAGUGACUAAGCGUACACGGUGGAUGCCUUGGCAGUCAGAGGCGAUGAAAGACGUAGUAACUUGCGAUAAGCCCAGAUUAGGUAGUAACAACCAUUUGAGUCUGGGAUUUCUGAAUGGGGAAACCCACGUGCAUAAGCACGUAUCCUUACCUGAAUACAUAGGGUAAGGAGGCGAACCGGGGGAACUGAAACAUCUAAGUACCCCGAGGAAAAGAAAUCAACCGAGAUUCCGAAAGUAGCGGCGAGCGAAAUUGGAUUAGCCCUUAAGCUUUACACGCGUUAGACGAACGGUCUGGAAAGUCCGACGAUACAGGGUGAUAGUCCCGUAGUUGACGACGUGUGUUCAGUGAAAUCGAGUAGGGCGGGACACGUGAUAUCCUGUCUGAAUAUGGGGGGACCAUCCUCCAAGGCUAAAUACUACUGACUGACCGAUAGUGAACCAGUACCGUGAGGGAAAGGCGAAAAGAACCCCUGUGAGGGGAGUGAAAUAGAACCUGAAACCGUGUACGUACAAGCAGUAGGAGCAGGCUUUGUCCUGUGACUGCGUACCUUUUGUAUAAUGGGUCAGCGACUUAUAUUCAGUGGCAAGGUUAACCAUCUAGGGGAGCCGUAGGGAAACCGAGUCUUAACUGGGCGUUCAGUCUCUGGAUAUAGACCCGAAACCAGGUGAUCUAGCCAUGGGCAGGUUGAAGGUUGAGUAACAUCAACUGGAGGACCGAACCGACUAAUGUUGAAAAAUUAGCGGAUGACUUGUGGCUAGGGGUGAAAGGCCAAUCAAACCUGGAGAUAGCUGGUUCUCCCCGAAAGCUAUUUAGGUAGCGCCUCGGACGAAUACUACUGGGGGUAGAGCACUGUUAAGGCUAGGGGGUCAUCCCGACUUACCAACCCUUUGCAAACUCCGAAUACCAGUAAGUACUAUCCGGGAGACACACGGCGGGUGCUAACGUCCGUCGUGGAGAGGGAAACAACCCAGACCGCCAGCUAAGGUCCCAAAUUACUACUAAGUGGGAAACGAUGUGGGAAGGCUCAGACAGCCAGGAUGUUGGCUUAGAAGCAGCCAUCAUUUAAAGAAAGCGUAAUAGCUCACUGGUCGAGUCGGCCUGCGCGGAAGAUGUAACGGGGCUAAGUAGUAAACCGAAGCUGCGGCAAUAUACUUUUGUAUAUUGGGUAGGGGAGCGUUCUGUAAGCGGUUGAAGGUGUGUGGUAACGCAUGCUGGACGUAUCAGAAGUGCGAAUGCUGACAUGAGUAACGAUAAAGGGGGUGAAAAACCUCCUCGCCGGAAGACCAAGGGUUCCUGUCCAACGUUAAUCGGGGCAGGGUAAGUCGACCCCUAAGGCGAGGCCGAAAGGCGUAGUCGAUGGGAAACGGGUUAAUAUUCCCGUACUUCUUACAAUUGCGAUGGGGGACGGAGAAGGCUAGGUGGGCCUGGCGACGGUUGUCCAGGUUCAAGUGCGUAGGCUUGAGAGUUAGGUAAAUCCGGCUCUUUUUAAGGCUGAGACACGACGUCGAGCCACUACGGUGGUGAAGUCAUUGAUGCCAUGCUUCCAGGAAAAGCCUCUAAGCUUCAGAUUGUAAGGAAUCGUACCCCAAACCGACACAGGUGGUCGGGUAGAGAAUACCAAGGCGCUUGAGAGAACUCGGGUGAAGGAACUAGGCAAAAUGGUACCGUAACUUCGGGAGAAGGUACGCUCUCGACGGUGAAGUCCCUUGCGGAUGGAGCUAUUGAGAGUCGCAGAUACCAGGUGGCUGCAACUGUUUAUUAAAAACACAGCACUGUGCAAAAUCGUAAGAUGACGUAUACGGUGUGACGCCUGCCCGGUGCCGGAAGGUUAAUUGAUGGGGUUAGACUUCGGUCGAAGCUCUUGAUCGAAGCCCCGGUAAACGGCGGCCGUAACUAUAACGGUCCUAAGGUAGCGAAAUUCCUUGUCGGGUAAGUUCCGACCUGCACGAAUGGCGUAAUGAUGGCCACGCUGUCUCCACCCGAGACUCAGUGAAAUUGAAAUCGCUGUGAAGAUGCAGUGUACCCGCGGCUAGACGGAAAGACCCCGUGAACCUUUACUACAGCUUGGCACUGAACAUUGACCCUACAUGUGUAGGAUAGGUGGGAGGCUUUGAAGCACGUACGCCAGUAUGUGUGGAGCCGUCCUUGAAAUACCACCCUUGUAGUGUUGAUGUUCUAACGUCGACCCCUUAUCGGGGUUGCGGACAGUGCCUGGUGGGUAGUUUGACUGGGGCGGUCUCCUCCCAAAGAGUAACGGAGGAGCACGAAGGUGGGCUAAUCACGGUUGGACAUCGUGAGGUUAGUGCAAUGGCAUAAGCCCGCUUGACUGCGAGAAUGACAAUUCGAGCAGGUGCGAAAGCAGGUCAUAGUGAUCCGGUGGUUCUGAAUGGAAGGGCCAUCGCUCAACGGAUAAAAGGUACUCCGGGGAUAACAGGCUGAUACCGCCCAAGAGUUCAUAUCGACGGCGGUGUUUGGCACCUCGAUGUCGGCUCAUCACAUCCUGGGGCUGAAGUCGGUCCCAAGGGUAUGGCUGUUCGCCAUUUAAAGUGGUACGCGAGCUGGGUUUAGAACGUCGUGAGACAGUUCGGUCCCUAUCUGCCGUGGGCGUUGGAAGAUUGAAGGGGGCUGCUCCUAGUACGAGAGGACCGGAGUGGACGAACCUCUGGUGUUCGGGUUGUGUCGCCAGACGCAUUGCCCGGUAGCUAAGUUCGGAAUCGAUAACCGCUGAAAGCAUCUAAGCGGGAAGCGAGCCCUGAGAUGAGUCUUCCCUGAUACCUUAAGUAUCCUAAAGGGUUGUCGGAGACUACGACGUUGAUAGGUCAGGUGUGUAAGUGCUGUGAGGCAUUGAGCUAACUGAUACUAAUUGCCCGUGAGGCUUAACCAU
rnacentral:rRNA from 1 species